rnacentral:rRNA from 1 species
AUUGAACGCUGGCGGCAGGCCUAACACAUGCAAGUCGAGCGAGCGGCGGACGGGUGAGUAAUGUAUGGGGACUGCCCGAUAGAGGGGGAUAACUACUGGAAACGGUGACUAAUACCGCAUACUAUAGGAUAAACCAUAUUGGAUUAGCUAGUAGGUGGGGGAAAGGCGCACCUAGGCGACGAUCCCUAGCUGGUCUGAGAGGAUGAUCAGCCACACGUGGACGGAGACACGGCCCAGACUCCUACGGAGGCAGCAGUGGGGAAUAUUGGCCAAUGGGCGAAAGCCUGAUGCAGCAACGCCGCGUGUGUGAAGAAGGCCUUCGGAUUGUAAAGUACUUUCAGCGGGGAAGCGUUAUCCAAACAGGAAGCACCGGCUAACUCCGUGCCAGCAGCCGCGGUAAUAC